rnacentral:lncRNA from 1 species
GUCUGAAUCAGCCUGCUUCAAGGCUGGGGGAGGCUAAAAGGAACCAGUGUGGAAGGUGACAGGGGAGAAGGACAGAAGGUCAGAAAAUUGAACAAAGGGUCUUCCCAGGUGUCUGUCGAACCCAGCUCAUCCAGAAGCCACUAAAAGUGAACCCUGAGCCUUCACAAGAGAGUCCCCGUGACCCCCCAGGUUGCACCAAGCCUCCUCCAGUCUCCAACAGCUGCACUUCACACUGGACAUCUGUAAGCACAGAAAAUGCUGUUCAAUAAAUUGCCAAA